AGAGUUUGAUCCUGGCUCAGGACGAACGCUGGCGGCGUGCCUAAUACAUGCAAGUAGAACGCUGAAAUAAGAGCUUGCUCUUAUGGAUGAGUUGCGAACGGGUGAGUAACACGUGGGGAACCUACCUUCUAGCGGGGGAUAACACAUAGAAAUGUGUGCUAAUACCGCAUAAUAGUAUUUGAUGCAUAUCAGAUACUUGAAAGGCGCAAUUGCGUCACUAGAAGAUGGCCCCGCGGUGCAUUAGCUAGUUGGUGAGGUAACGGCUCACCAAGGCAAUGAUGCAUAGCCGACCUGAGAGGGUGAUCGGCCACACUGGGACUGAGACACGGCCCAGACUCCUACGGGAGGCAGCAGUAGGGAAUCUUCGGCAAUGGACGCAAGUCUGACCGAGCAACGCCGCGUGAGUGAAGAAGGUUUUCGGAUCGUAAAACUCUGUUGUAAGAGAAGAACGUUGAUGAGAGUGGAAAGUUCAUCAAGUGACGGUAUCUUACCAGAAAGCCACGGCUAACUACGUGCCAGCAGCCGCGGUAAUACGUAGGUGGCAAGCGUUGUCCGGAUUUAUUGGGCGUAAAGCGAGCGCAGGCGGUUGAUUAAGUCUGAUGUGAAAGCCCCCGGCUCAACCGGGGAGGGUCAUUGGAAACUGGUCAACUUGAGUGCAGAAGAGGAGAGUGGAAUUCCAUGUGUAGCGGUGAAAUGCGUAGAUAUAUGGAGGAACACCAGUGGCGAAGGCGGCUCUCUGGUCUGUAACUGACGCUGAGGCUCGAAAGCGUGGGGAGCGAACAGGAUUAGAUACCCUGGUAGUCCACGCCGUAAACGAUGAGUGCUAAGUGUUGGAGGGAUUUCCGCCCUUCAGUGCUGCAGCUAACGCAUUAGCACUCCGCCUGGGGAGUACGACCGCAAGUGAAACUCAAAGGAAUUGACGG
rnacentral:rRNA from 1 species